rnacentral:rRNA from 1 species
AGGGUUUGAUCAUGGCUCAGAUUGAACGCUGGCGGCGUGCCUAACACAUGCAAGUCGAGCGGUAACAGGUGUAGCAAUACAUGCUGACGAGCGGCGGACGGGUGAGCAAUGUUUGGGAAUCUGCCUAUUAGUGGGGGACAACCCGGGGAAACUCGGGCUAAUACCGCAUACGCACUACGGUGGAAAGCCGGGGACCGCAAGGCCUGGCGCUAAUAGAUGAGCCCAAAUCGGAUUAGCUAGUUGGUGGGGUAAUGGCCCACCAAGGCGACGAUCCGUAGCUGGUCUGAGAGGACGACCAGCCACACCGGAACUGAGACACGGUCCGGACUCCUACGGGAGGCAGCAGUGGGGAAUAUUGGACAAUGGGCGAAAGCCUGAUCCAGCGACGCCGCGUGGGUGAAGAAGGCCUGCGGGUUGUAAAGCCCUUUCGGUGGGGAAGAAAAGCCUCGUUUUAAUACAGCGGGGUCUUGACGUAACCCAAGAAAGAAGCACCGGCUAACUCUGUGCCAGCAGCCGCGGUAAUACAGAGGGUGCGAGCGUUAAUCGGAAUUACUGGGCGUAAAGCGCGCGUAGGCGGCUUUGCAAGUCGGGUGUGAAAUCCCCAGGCUUAACCUGGGAACUGCAUUCGAGACUGCAUUGCUAGAGUAUGGGAGAGGGAAGUGGAAUUUCAGGUGUAGCGGUGAAAUGCGUAGAUAUCUGAAGGAACAUCAGUGGCGAAAGCGACUUCCUGGACCAAUACUGACGCUCAUGUGCGAAAGCGUGGGGAGCAAACAGGAUUAGAUACCCUGGUAGUCCACGCCAUAAACGAUGACAACUGGAUGUCGGGAGGGUCUGCCUCUCGGUGUCGUAGCUAACGCGUUAAGUUGUCCGCCUGGGGAGUACGGCCG